rnacentral:rRNA from 1 species
UACAGAGGGUGCAAGCGUUGUUCGGAAUUAUUGGGCGUAAAGGGCGCGUAGGCGGUGCCACAAGUCACCUGUGAAAUCUCCGGGCUUAACUCGGAGCCUGCAGGCGAAACUGUGGUGCUGGAGUGUGGGAGAGGUGCGUGGAAUUCCCGGUGUAGCGGUGAAAUGCGUAGAUAUUGGGAGGAACAUCAGUAGCGAAGGCGCUUUCUGGGUCACACCUGACACUGAGGUACGAAAGCGUGGGGAGCAAACAGG